rnacentral:rRNA from 1 species
CGGGUGCGGAACACGUACGCAACCUUCCUUUAACUGGAGAAUAGCCCCUCGAAAGAGGGAUUAAUACUCCGUAACAUAUUGAAGUGGCAUCACUACAAUAUUAUAGCUCCGGCGGUUAAAGAUGGGCGUGCGCCUGAUUAGAUAGUUGGCGGGGUAACGGCCCACCAAGUCUGCGAUCAGUAACUGGUGUGAGAGCACGACCAGUCACACGGGCACUGAGACACGGGCCCG